rnacentral:rRNA from 1 species
AACGUAGGACACAAGCGUUAUCCGGAGUUACUGGGCGUAAAGGGCGUGUAGGCGGACGUGUAAGUCUAUUCUGAAAGCUCCUGGCUAAACUGGGAGAGGCGAAUGGAGACUGCAUAUCUAGAGUGAGGAAGAGGAAAGUGGAAUUCCGCGUGUAGCAGUGAAAUGCGUAGAGAUGUGGAGGAACACCGAUGGCGAAGGCAGCCCCCUGGGUCAAGAUUGACGCUCAUGCACGAAAGCGUGGGGAGCAAACAGG